rnacentral:misc_RNA from 1 species
AAACCAUUCAUUUAUUGAAAGACAGGAGUAUAACAUUAAGAUUAUAGGCCCACAACCCUCUUAGUCAAAGCCCUAGCCACUCUAUCAAACACUCUAUCGAAGCUAAGUCUAGACAAAUAGAGGCCAAAAGGCCUAACUAUCAGAUAACCUAGCGCAAGGUCCAUUUCCAAGAGACCUGUCUUCUCCGCCUUGUAACCCAUUUACAUUGUCGCCUCAGACAAGAUCACCGACUAGCAAAGAAAUCAAAGAUCUUUCAUUUAUGUACAAUUGUCGGGAUUGCAACCACAGCUAAAUUGCAUGCAGCCUCUCAACAUCGAGAACUGAGAGCUCAGAGACCCGAAGUAGAGUAUCUAGGCAAGUAGUAGCUUCGCCCAAGGGAGGAAAAAACCAAAGAGAUGCCGGACAAACUGGGAACAGGCGUGGCAGAGCUCCGGCAUCUCAGUCUAAUCUAGUCACGUGUCCUUUGAUGUGCCAACCGACGAGCCAAGCUAAGGAAGAGCUACCAUCUCAGAUCUUUAAAAGAUCUCUCACAAAGCUAGCACAAGAUCUGAUUUGCAUCUAAUCAACACAACGCAACAAAAUCCUCAUUCAAGAA